UACGUAGGGUGCGAGCGUUGUCCGGAAUUAUUGGGCGUAAAGGGCGCGUAGGCGGCGAUUCAAGUGACGGGUGAAAUCCCUCGGCUUAACCGAGGAACUGCCUGUCAGACUGGAUUGCUUGAGGCCGGGAGAGGCGAGUGGAAUUCCCAGUGUAGCGGUGAAAUGCGUAGAUAUUGGGAGGAACACCAGUGGCGAAGGCGGCUCGCUGGACCGGUUCUGACGCUGAGGCGCGAAAGCGUGGGGAGCAAACAGG
rnacentral:rRNA from 1 species